GACUCCAGUAUAGCUUGCAGCCUUCCCGUCCAGUAAUUGCAAGAUCCAACAAAGCUGAAAGAUGGAAUCUGAGGGCUCUCAGAACUCCCAAUAGGCCCAAGGCUCAGAGAGGAAACAAAAUCCACUCAAGGUCAUGAACACUCGCUUUUCCCUGCUGACUGAUGGUAGCACUGGGAUUCGAUUCAGAUGCCAGGACAAAAGGACAAGGUGGCCAAGAGAAGUAGAAAGGUGUUGAGAGGAGAAGGAGAAUGGGAAAGGGCCAAUAAGAAGACAAUGAAAACAAGCAGCGCCAAGGCAGCUGGGCCAGGCUGGACUCACACACUCCCUGAAGGCUCGGGUCCAGGAGGCACUGGUGGUGCGAUGGUUUUCUUCUCCUUUUGAGGAUUUCCAACGCUAUUGCUAGCCUUUGUUUGUUUAACAUAACCUAUUUUUUGCUGCUAUUUUUCCUUGCAAAUUUAUGCUUUGUUUUUCUUUUUUUGGAGACAACUUCUCGCUCUAUCACCCAGGCUGGAGUGCAGUGGUACGACUUCGGCUACUACAACCUCUGCCUCCUGGGUUCAAGCGAUUCUCGUGCCUCAGCCUCCCUAGUAGCUGGAACUACAGGCAUGCGCUGCCACACCCGGCUAAUUUUUGUAUUUUCAGUAGAGACAAGGUUUUGCCAUGUUUUCCAGGCUGGUCUCGAACUACCUGCCUCAAGCGAUCUGACCGCCUCGGCUUCUGAAAGUGCUGGGAUUACAGGUAUGAGCCACCAUGCCCAGCCAGUUUGUUUGUUUUUUUUGAGACACGGUCUUGCUCUGUUGCACAGGCUAGAGUGUAGUAGCUCACUGCAGCAACCCUCAACUCCCCUGGGCUCAAGCAAUCCUCCAGCCCAGCCCCCUAAGAAGCUAGGACUACAAGCACACAACACUACAACUGGCUGAUUUUUAUUUUUAUUUUUUUUGCCCAGGCUGGUCUUGAACUCCUGGCCUCAAGCGAUCCUCUCACCUUGACCUUACAAAGUGCUGGGUUUACAGGCAUGAGCCACUGCGCCUAGCCAUUUUUUGUGUGUGUGUGUCUAUUCUUUUGCCUCAAAGAGGAAGGAAACUGAGCAGAAGGGCUGCUUCUACUCCAGGCAUAUCCCAGUCUUCCUGGGUGAUGAGAAGAGCUCUGUCUAUUGGGAACACACUAAGAGCCCAGCUCUGUGCUAUA
rnacentral:lncRNA from 10 species